rnacentral:rRNA from 1 species
GUUCGCUGUCCGCGACUCGGCGAGAAGUCCAUUGAACCUUAUCAUUUAGAGGAAGGAGAAGUCGUAACAAGGUUUCCGUAGGUGAACCUGCGGAAGGAUCAUUG